rnacentral:rRNA from 1 species
UGAGGAAUAUUGCGCAAUGGCCGAAAGGCUGACGCAGCAACGCCGCGUGAGGGAUGAAGUUCUUAGGAAUGUAAACCUCUGUUAGAGGGGACGAAUAGGUGGAUAUCGAACAGGUAUUCAUUUUGACGGUACCCUCAAAGAAAGCCCCGGCUAACUCCGUGCCAGCAGCCGCGGUAACACGGGGGGGGCAAGCGUUGUCCGGAAUUAUUGGGCGUAAAGGGCGCGUAGGUGGAAUAAUAAGUCUGGGGUGCAAAUCCAUAGCUUAACUAUGGGCUUGCCUUGGAUACUGUUAUUCUUGAGUUCGGAAGAGGGAAGUGGAAUUCCUGGUGUAGCGGUGAAAUGCGUAGAUAUCAGGAAGAACACCGGUGGCGAAGGCGGCUUCCUGGUCCGAUACUGACACUAAUGCGCGAAAGUGUGGGGAGCAAACAGGAUUAGAUACCCUGGUAGUCCACACCAUAAACGUUGGGCACUAGGUGUUGGUCUCGUCUGAGAUCAGCGCCGCAG